CCAAGCUGUAAAGCAAGUGCAGCUUGUCCCUUAAUAAUCUGCAGCCUGCUUGUACCAUCUCUCAGGUCAGAAAAUCAGCAUGUCAUGAGGGAUCUUCGCUACAGAAACGGUGCUACUCAAAGCAUUAAAAUGAGCUGAAGGGAAGAGAACCAGGAAUACAUGACAGCUGAGGGAAGGAUUGUCUGAGAUUUUGAUUAGAGAGAAACGUGACAUGGGGAUGUUUCUGCCUCUUAUUGCACAUCAGAAAUCAGAAUCUUCACAUUUUGUGACAAAUUAUUUCCACAACAGCCAGUCAUCAUGCUACAGAGAAUUGUGGCUUCAGGUGAG